rnacentral:rRNA from 1 species
GGGAGUGGCGGGGUGCUUACCAUGCAGUCGAACGCUGAAGCACCAGCUUGCUGGUGUGGAUGAGUGGCGAACGGGUGAGUAAUACGUGAGUAACCUGCCCUUGACUCUGGGAUAAGCCCGGGAAACUGGGUCUAAUACUGGAUGCUACAUGUCACCGCAUGGUGGUGUGUGGAAAGGGUUUACUGGUCUUGGAUGGGCUCACGGCCUAUCAGCUUGUUGGUGAGGUAAUGGCUCACCAAGGCGACGACGGGUAGCCGGCCUGAGAGGGUGACCGGCCACACUGGGACUGAGACACGGCCCAGACUCCUACGGGAGGCAGCAGUGGGGAAUAUUGCACAAUGGGCGAAAGCCUGAUGCAGCGACGCCGCGUGAGGGAUGACGGCCUUCGGGUUGUAAACCUCUUUCAGCAGGGAAGAAGCCACAAGUGACGGUACCUGCAGAAGAAGCGCCGGCUAACUACGUGCCAGCAGCCGCGGUAAUACGUAGGGCGCAAGCGUUGUCCGGAAUUAUUGGGCGUAAAGAGCUCGUAGGCGGUUUGUCGCGUCUGCUGUGAAAGCCCGGGGCUUAACCCCGGGUGUGCAGUGGGUACGGGCAGACUAGAGUGCAGUAGGGGAGACUGGAAUUCCUGGUGUAGCGGUGGAAUGCGCAGAUAUCAGGAGGAACACCGAUGGCGAAGGCAGGUCUCUGGGCUGUUACUGACGCUGAGGAGCGAAAGCAUGGGGAGCGAACAGGAUUAGAUACCCUGGUAGUCCAUGCCGUAAACGUUGGGCACUAGGUGUGGGGGACAUUCCACGUUUUCCGCGCCGUAGCUAACGCAUUAAGUGCCCCGCCUGGGGAGUACGGCCGCAAGGCUAAAACUCAAAGGAAUUGACGGGGGCCCGCACAAGCGGCGGAGCAUGCGGAUUAAUUCGAUGCAACGCGAAGAACCUUACCAAGGCUUGACAUAUACCGGAUCGUUCCAGAGAUGGUUCUUCCCCUUUGGGGUCGGUAUACAGGUGGUGCAUGAUGUCGUCAGCUCGUGUCGUGAGAUGUGGGUAAGUCCCGCACGAGCGCACCCUCGUUCCAUGUUGCCAGCACC